GGAAGUGUGGCAGAGCGGCCGAAUGCACUGGUCUUGAAAACCAGCGAUAGGAAACUAUCCGGGGGUUCAAAUCCCUCCACUUCCGCCA
rnacentral:tRNA from 1 species